rfam:Triticum urartu cultivar G1812 contig908237, whole genome shotgun sequence.
AUAUUACUCCCUCCGUCCGAAAAUACUUGUAUUAGAAAUGGUUGUAUCUAGACUUAUUUUAGUUAUAGAUACAUCCAUUUUAUCCAUUUCUAGGACAAGUAUUUCUGGACGGAGGGAGUAAAUU